GUGUCAGCAGCCGCGGUAACACGGGGGGAGCAAGCGUUGUUCGGAAUCACUGGGCGUAAAGGGCGUGUAGGCGGUCAGGUAAGUGGGAUGUGAAAUGCCUCGGCUCACCCGAGGCACUGCAUUCCAAACUGCUUGGCUUGAGUAUGGGAGAGGAUGAGGGAAUUCCUGGUGUAGCGGUGAAAUGCGUAGAUAUCAGGAGGAACACCGGUGGCGAAGGCGCUCAUCUGGCCCAAUACUGACGCUGAGGCGCGAAAGCUAGGGGAGCAAACAGGAUUAGAAACCCUAGUAGUCC
rnacentral:rRNA from 1 species